UACGAAGGGGGCUAGCGUUGUUCGGAAUUACUGGGCGUAAAGCGCGCGCAGGCGGUCUUCCAAGUCAGUGGUGAAAGCCCGGAGCUCAACUCCGGAACUGCCAUUGAGACUGUUAGACUUGAGGACGAGAGAGGUGAGUGGAAUUCCCAGUGUAGAGGUGAAAUUCGUAGAUAUUGGGAAGAACACCGGUGGCGAAGGCGGCUCACUGGCUCGUAUCUGACGCUCAGGCGCGACAGCGUGGGGAUCAAACAGG
rnacentral:rRNA from 1 species